rnacentral:rRNA from 1 species
UACGUAGGCAGCGAGCGUUGUUCGGAGUUACUGGGCGUAAAGGGUGUGUAGGCGGUUGCUUAAGUUUGGUGUGAAAUCUCCCGGCUCAACCGGGAGGGUGCGCCGAAUACUGAGUGACUAGAGUGCGGGAGAGGAAAGUGGAAUUCCGGGUGUAGCGGUGGAAUGCGUAGAGAUCCGGAGGAAGACCGGUGGCGAAGGCGGUCUGCUGGGCAGUUUCUGACACUGAUGCGCGACAGCGUGGGGAGCAAACAGG